AGGGAAAAACAGCCAGUGAGGAGAGGGAGGCAGGCCCGAGGCCCCGAGGCCAAGCCUGAGUCAGGGGUCCCCACCCCAGGAAGCCUGGUCCUGCAGCAUGGCCUUUUCACUGGGAAAAGGGAGCCACAUGAGGCCCAGAUUCCACUGCCCUUAGUCAAGUCACCAGUGACCUCUGGCACCAAGGCCAGCCCAAGCGACCACUGUCUCCCCAUACAAGGACCACCCACCCCAGCUCCCCGGCCCAAGUCAGGCAAUUUCAGGAAACCUGCAUCAGGGCCCAGGGGCCUGAUUCUAAGUCCCACUGUGAACGACCCUGCUGUAGGGGGCAUGGCUGGACCCUAACACACUUCCCCGCCUGGGCGCCCAGAGCUGGCCCCUCCCCGUGCAGCCUGCACCGCCCGCCUGGCUGCUCUUUCUCACCCCUCCCUGGAGUGUACUGGCCAGUAGGGAGCAUCCUUAUUCUGAUCUCCAACCCCCACCGAAGCUUAUCUGUUGGUGUCACUGGCCCCAUUUCCACAUAAAGGAACAGAGGCUCAGAGAGGUAAAGUGACCCAGUGAGGAAGGGGGAGAGUUGGGGUUCAAAUCCCAGCCUUCCUGCUCCGACAUCUCCUCCACCCGGCCCAGGCCGUGUUCUGACUCCUUUGGGCCUCAGUGUUACCACCCAGGGAAGUGGAUCCAGGGUAAAUACCAACCUUCCGACAGGGAUAAAGAGGUAGAAAAUGGCCAGCACGCAGGUCCGCUGGUCCCUGACGAAGAGGUCUCCCAGGACGGUGGGCGCAAUGGUGGAGUAGCUGGCUGUGCCAAUGCCUACCACUCCCCGGGACAGGAAGAAAAGCCAGGCGUGCUGGGCAAACGGGCACAAGACCACACAUCAGCCCAACAGUGGAAAAGCCAACAGCACCCUCCAAGGCUGUGUAAAUAUGAAGCAGAAGUGAACACAGGGCCAGUAUGGAGCUGCCAGUGCCCCGUAUUUACAAGAAUUCCCGCCCCCUUAAACGCUUAUGAACUGGCGACUGGAUUUAACGAAUGCGUUUGCUAUUCCGCGAAGACAAAGAAACUGCCACGUUUUUGCUGGACUGUAUGUACCACGUGGAUAGGUACCCUCACUGCUCCGGUUCCUCACAGAAAAACGCCUCCACCCUCCUCUGUGCGUCUGCAGCCUCCGAGAGCUGGCAGGUGGCGAGGGCAAAGUCUGACCCUGCGCCCCCACCCCGGUCCCACCCCCCAAGAGCCUUAGGCUUUGGA